ACAUAUUACUCCAAUUCUCUCCCUCUCCAGCCGCCGCACCACCUCUAUUACUUGUCCCUUUUUGUCUUCGACCAUCGAUGCAUUUUAAUGGACAAGAGUUAGACAACAGGAAAAUGACUUUCCAGACAUUCGAUUAGCCUUUUUGUUUAUGGUAAAACCUACUUCAUCCUUUCCCUGAAUGCAAGAAGAUUAUCAGGCGGGUUGCAGCAUCAAAAAUCCCAGACAAAUACUUGUUUUUUUGGAUAUGAGAAACUUUAGAAUUUUACAGAUUAUGGUUGAAAUAUCUAACAUGUUGUACAUAGUUUGUAAUAUUUGUUACUAUCCAUCCUGUCUAGUUUUAUUCUACAAUCUCAUUAUGUAUGAUU